AUUGAACGCUGGCGGCAUGCCUUACACAUGCAAGUCGAACGGUAACAGGUCUUCGGAUGCUGACGAGUGGCGCACGGGUGAGUAAUACAUCGGAACGUGCCCGAUCGUGGGGGAUAACGGAGCGAAAGCUUUGCUAAUACCGCAUACGAUCUACAGAUGAAAGCAGGGGACCGCAAGGCCUUGCGCGGACGGAGCGGCCGAUGGCAGAUUAGGUAGUUGGUGGGAUAAAAGCUUACCAAGCCGACGAUCUGUAGCUGGUCUGAGAGGACGACCAGCCACACUGGGACUGAGACACGGCCCAGACUCCUACGGGAGGCAGCAGUGGGGAAUUUUGGACAAUGGGCGAAAGCCUGAUCCAGCCAUGCCGCGUGCAGGAUGAAGGCCUUCGGGUUGUAAACUGCUUUUGUACGGAACGAAAAGACUCUUUCUAAUAAAGAGGGUCCAUGACGGUACCGUAAGAAUAAGCACCGGCUAACUACGUG
rnacentral:rRNA from 1 species